CUCAGAUAAAACUAAAAACCCCAAGUAAAACCAUAAAUACACUGAUGUGAAGGAUAAUGUGCUUUAAUCCACAUCCAUCUGACUCCAACAGUUCUUUCUCUGGAGGUGGAUAGCAUUCCCCAUUAUAAGGAUUAUCCCAGGAUUACUUUUUCCUUUUUUUUUAAAAUAAGUCCUUACUUUUCCAUCUUAGAAUCAAUACUAUGUGUUGAUUUCAAGGCAGAAGAGUGGUAAGGGUUAGGCAAUGGGGGUCAAGUGACACUGCAAGGAAGUGUCUGAGGUUGGAUUUGAACCCAGAACCUCUUGUCUCUGGGCCUGGCUCUCAAGCCACUGAGCCAUUAUUGCUGAGAGUUGCCUAGCUUUCACAGUUGAUCAUUACACAAUAUUGCUAUUACUGUGGACAAUGUUCUCCUGGUUCUGCUUAUUUUGCUCUGCAUCAGUUCAUGUAUAUUUUUACAACUUGUUUGGAAAUCAUUUUGCUUAUCAUUUCUUAUAACCUCAUUUUAAGUUUUGCUGAGAGAUUACUUAUGUAAAAUAAUCCCGUUCUAGCCAGAGAAUAGCAGUGGGAUUGGGAUUGCAUACUCCCAUUUUAUAGAUGAAGAAACUGUGACUCAACAGAGUUAAGUGUCUUGCCCCAUGAGGUCACACAGCUAAUAAAGGUUGGAGGCAGGAUCUGAACAAAAGAUACAUGGUAAUCAAUAAACAUUUACUCAGCUAUUAAGUAAAUGCCUUCUAUGUGCCAGACACUAUACCAAGUACUAGGGAUACAAAAAGAAACAAAAGACAAUCCCUGCCCUCAAGGAAUUCACAAACAAGAUGCAAACAAAUACAUGCAAAGCCAGGGACACACGGGAUAAAUAGAGAUAAUUAACAGAGGGAAGGCACUGCAAAGAAGAGGGGUCAGUAGAGGUGUUUGUAGAAGGUGGGAUUUUAGUUGGGCUAUAAGGGAGCCAGGCAGCCCAGUAGUCAGAGCGGAGGAGGGAGAGCAUUCCAGACCUAGAAGACAGCAAGAGCAAAAGGCGAGAAUGGAAUACCUAAGGAGGCCAGUGUCCCUGGAGCAAGGGGUAAAUGUCUAGGAACAAAGCAUAAGAAGCCUGGGAAGAUGGGAGUAUCUUUGCCAAGAAAACCCAGAGGCCAGUAUUAGUGUGCUAAAGUCAGUGGGGCCACAAAGAGUCACACACACCUGAUGGACUGACAAUGAUGAGCCAGAAGAGAGAGUGAGGAAGCCAGGAUGUGAGUCUGAGGUCCUAGGAAGGUGUCCUUGUUUUCUACAACAAUAGGGAAGGUGGGGAGGGUUUAUGAGAAAAGAUGAUGUUUCUGUUUCAGACAGUGAAUUUAAGAUGUCUCCUGGACAAAUCUGGUCUCAGAAACUUUCUAGCUAUGUGACCUUGGUCAAAACUCCAGCCUGGCAUGGGCCCACCACAAGCACAGGAGAGUUUGUUGACUGCUCCAUUAAACUAAUUCAUACUAAGGAGUUGAUGACUGACUCCACCUGCAGGAGGAGGAAGCAUUUUUAAGAGAGACUUGAGACCACAGGCCUGGACUAUCAAUUUGUCUCCUUAGAAGGUGAGAAAAUCCCAGCAGAGUGAAACAUCAGCUUCCAGGCGGGCAGCAGCAGCCAAGGCUAUGAAAAUUACUGGAAUGGGUACAGUCUGGAAUCUUAGUGUUCCAGAUCUCAGAGACUGGAAAAAGCCAGAGAUUCCUAGAUCUAUAGCUGGAGGACACCUCAGGAGGCUGUCAACAUCAGUCCUUUCA